GAUGAACGCUGGCGGCGUGCCUAAUACAUGCAAGUCGAGCGAACAGAUAAGGAGCUUGCUCCUUUGACGUUAGCGGCGGACGGGUGGGUAACACGUGGGUAACCUACCUAUAAGACUGGGAUAACUUCGGGAAACCGGAGCUAAUACCGGAUAACAUUUGGAACCGCAUGGUUCUAAAGUGAAAGAUGGUUUUGCUAUCACUUAUAGAUGGACCCGCGCCGUAUUAGCUAGUUGGUAAGGUAACGGCUUACCAAGGCGACGAUACGUAGCCGACCUGAGAGGGUGAUCGGCCACACUGGAACUGAGACACGGUCCAGACUCCUACGGGAGGCAGCAGUAGGGAAUCUUCCGCAAUGGGCGAAAGCCUGACGGAGCAACGCCGCGUGAGUGAUGAAGGGUUUCGGCUCGUAAAACUCUGUUAUUAGGGAAGAACAAAUGUGUAAGUAACUGUGCACGUCUUGACGGUACCUAAUCAGAAAGCCACGGCUAACUACGUG
rnacentral:rRNA from 1 species